rnacentral:rRNA from 1 species
CGCGUAGGCGGCGGACCGAGUCGAGUGUGAAAGCCCCGGGCUCAACCUGGGAGGUGCGCUCGAGACUGGCCCGCUGGAGUUCGGGAGAGGAGAGCGGAAUUCCCAGUGUAGAGGUGAAAUUCGUAGAUAUUGGGAAGAACACCGGUGGCGAAGGCGGCCCUCUGGACCGAGACUGACGCUGAGGCGCGAAAGCGUGGGGAGCAAACAGGAUUAGAUACCCUGGUAGUCCACGCUGUAAACGAUGUGUGCUAGACGUUGGGGAGCGUAGCUCUUCGGUGUCGCCGCAAACGCUUUAAGCACACCGCCUGGGGAGUACGGCCGCAAGGUUAAA